rnacentral:rRNA from 1 species
UACGGAGGGGGCCAGCGUUGUUCGGAAUCACUGGGCGUAAAGCGCACGUAGGCGGACUUUUAAGUCAGGGGUGAAAUCCUGGAGCUCAACUCCAGAACUGCCUUUGAUACUGGGAGUCUCGAGUUCGGAAGAGGUUGGUGGAACUGCGAGUGUAGAGGUGAAAUUCGUAGAUAUUCGCAAGAACACCAGUGGCGAAGGCGGCCAACUGGUCCGAUACUGACGCUGAGGUGCGAAAGCGUGGGGAGCAAACAGG